AGUGAACGCUGGCGGUAGGCCUAACACAUGCAAGUCGAACGGCAGCACAGUAAGAUCUUGCUCUUACGGGUGGCGAGUGGCGGACGGGUGAGGAAUACAUCGGAAUCUACUUUUUCGUGGGGGAUAACGGGGGGAAACUGACGCUAAUACCGCAUACGACCUACGGGUGAAAGCAGGGGAUCUUCGGACCUUGCGCGAUUGAAUGAGCCGAUGUCGGAUUAGCUAGUUGGCGGGGUAAAGGCCCACCAAGGCGACGAUGCGUAGCUGGUCUGAGAGGAUGAUCGGCCACACUGGAACUGAGACACGGUCCAGACUCCUACGGGAGGCAGCAGUGGGGAAUAUUCGACAAUGGGCGCAAGCCUGAUCCAGCAAUACCGCGUGGGUGAAGAAGGCCUUCGGGUUGUAAAGCCCUUUUGUUGGGAAAGAAAAGCAGCAGGUUAAUCCCCCGCUGUUCUGACGGUACCCAAAGAAUAAGCACCGGCUAACUUCGUG
rnacentral:rRNA from 1 species